rnacentral:rRNA from 1 species
AUAGAGACUCAGAGCUGCAUAUCAAUAAGCGGAGGAAAAGAAACUAACAAGGAUUCCCCUAGUAACGGCGAGUGAAGCGGGAAGAGCUCAAAUUUGAAAUCUUCAAGGGUUUCCCUUGACGAAUUGUAGUUUAAAGAAGUGUUUUCUGUUAGAGAGGUGGUAAAAGUUCUUUGGAAUAGGACAUCAUAGAGGGUGAGAAUCCCGUAUUUGAUCACUUUCUACUAACGUUGUGAUACACUUUCAAAGAGUCGGAUUGUUUGGGAAUGCAGUCCAAAAUGGGUGGUAAAUUUCAUCUAAAGCUAAAUAUUGGCGAGAGACCGAUAGCGAACAAGUACCGUGAGGGAAAGAUGAAAAGAACUUUGAAAAGAGAGUUAAACAGUACGUGAAAUUGUCAAAAGGGAAGCGUUUGACACCAGUGUUGUUUUUCCGAAAAUCAAUUAUGAAUGGCUUGAUUUUAAGUUUCAUGACCUUAAAAGCUUGUUUCUUAUUUUUCAUGUCUUUCGUAAUGCACUUUUCGGUUAACAAGUCAACAUCAAUUUCUUUUGUGGUAAAAGAGUAUGAGGAAGGUGGCUUUCUUUUCGGAGAAAGUGUUUAUAGCCUUUGUACUCCUGCAAUCGGAGAGAUUGAGGUCUGCAGCGUAGAUCCUUCGGGGUUAGAUACAUUUGUGCUAAGUUAUAGCUUUUCAUAGACAACUUGUUGAUUAUGUUAAGUCUUGUAGACUUACUCGCUUAUGCUAUUUUACCUACGCUUAGGAUGUUGAUAUGCAUGACUGAUAU